UUGGUGCAAAAGUAAUUGCGGUUUUUGCUAUUGAAAAUAAUGGAAAAAAUGACAAUUACUUUUACACCAA
ensembl:miRNA